rnacentral:rRNA from 1 species
UACGAAGGGUGCAAGCGUUGCUCGGAAUUAUUGGGCGUAAAGGGUAGGUAGGUGGUGACAUUUGUCUGGGGUGAAAUCCCUGAGCUUAACUCAGGAAGUGCCUUGGAAACGGUGUCACUAGAGUGCUGGAGAGGUUCGCAGAAUUCUUGGUGUAGCGGUGAAAUGCGUAGAGAUCAAGAGGAAUACUAGAGGCGAGGGCGGCGAACUGGACAGUUACUGACACUAAACUACGAAAGCGUGGGGAGCAAACAGG